GACGAACGCUGGCGGCGUGCUUAACACAUGCAAGUCGAACGCUGAAGACCUGGCUUUUGUUGGGUUGGAUGAGUGGCGCACGGGUGAGUAACACGUGUGUAACCUGCCCUCUUCUUUGGGAUAACUCCCGGAAACGGGUGCUAAUACUGGAUAUUCACUUAUCUUCGCAUGUUUGUUGGUGGAAUGCUUUGUUCUGGUGGGGGAUGGGCUCGGGGCCUAUCAGCUUGUUUGUGGGGUGAUGGCCUAACAAGGCUUUGACGGGUAGCCGGCCUGAGAGGGUGACCGGGCACAUUGGGACUGAGAUACGGCCCAGACUCCGACGGGAGGCAGAAGUGGGGAAUAAUGCACAAAGGGCGAAAGCAGGAUGCAGCGACGGCGAGUGAGGGAUGGAGGACUUAGGGUUGUAAACCUCUUUCGGUAAUGGUCAAGCAGCAACUGGGGGUUGUGGUGAGGGUAGUGGGUAAAGAAGCGCCGGCUAACUACGUG
rnacentral:rRNA from 1 species